GGGCGUCCGUCGUGUUCGCGUGGGCUUUAUAUUUCCUUGAACCGAUGCUCUUCGAGCCAGGGCUUGGAACAUCGCCAAUUGGGCGUGAUCGUCUCGCGUCAGACGAACCCGAAAUUUGGCUGACCUCGCCCACCUGAACUUCCCUAUGGGUUCAGGAAUGCGGUUCACGGCUCACGGCGGACACCUU
rnacentral:other from 1 species